CCUAAAAAGUCCUUUAAACA
rnacentral:tRNA from 2 species